CCAGCGAGUGAGCUCGCGAGCGCGGAGGAGCUGGCUCAGCGGCUCAGCGCCUCAUGCCAGCCGUGCCACGGUGGCAGUCGGUCGUGUGUACUCCUACGUGGCACGGCGUGAUGCUUAGUCAGCCAGCAGAGUGGAGUGCUACUUUU
rnacentral:pre_miRNA from 1 species